rnacentral:lncRNA from 1 species
AUAAUCACAAAUAUAUUUUAAAUAAAUCUCAAAAAAGUUUUAAUUUAAUCCUUGUUGAAACUUUAAUGGACUUCAAUUAAACUAUAAACAAACCUUAAAUCCUAAACCAAAUUCUAGACAAACCCUAAAUCCUAAACCAAAUCCUAAAAAAAUCCUAAAUCCUAAAUCAAAAUCUAAAAAAAUUCUAAAUUCUAGAUCAAAUCUAAGACAAAUCCUAAACUAUAAAUCUUAAAUCUUAAAUCAAAUCCUUGACAAAUCCUAAAUCCUAAACCAAAUCUUAAAUAAAUUCUAAAUCCUAAAUCAAACCCUAAAUCAAAUCUUAGAAAAAUUCUAAAUCCUAAACCAAAUCCUAAAUCAA